UGUGAUGCCCAUCUUUUGCUUUCUUCCCUUGGACAAUAAUUGAGAAUAUGCCAUGAAGUCACCCAAAGUCUUGAAACUAAGCAUAUGGUCAUUGAUGUAAGAUAUCUUCAAAUAUUUCAGCGAAGCAAAGCUCUAGACAAGGCUGUGUAUUUUAUUGGAGUCACUGAAAGUUUUUUCAGUUCCUUCUUCAUAACAGAUAGUAACAGCCUGCACUGUGGUUACCUGCAGCUGCACCACUACUCUCACUCUAAGGGGAGUGUGUAAUGCUUAAGCUCAGAUUUUCCUGAGGUAAUGUUGAGUACUGCUGGAAAUGUAACUGUGUGAAUGAUAAUAGACUUUGACAUGUUACUAAUAGUGAUGUAGAUCUUUCUGAUGCAGCAUAUUUUCCAAUAUGCUGCAUAAUAACAGUUUAGUUUUCUAAAAUACUGUUGAAAAAUUUAGCUCUAGCACCAAAUGAGUUAGUUCAGGGGGAUUCUUUAAUAGGUCAUUAAUGAAGUGUUUAGUGAUAGAAAGUAAAGGCUGUCUGCCACACAGUUAUACUAUGUUUCUGUUACUAGUCUAUCAGACCAUACCUUGUAAUAUCUUACCGCAUAUAUUGGGAAUAAGUGGAUAUAAAUUGAAUUUUUAUGACUAUGGGAACUCCAAGCCAGUUAUCUUCUCAUCCAACAUAUGGUAGCUAUGAGGCUGAGAGAUCAGGUUAAUCUGUUUUGACUUUGUUUCACUGUAAAAAUAAUGGUUUCAUUGACAGAUAUGCGUAAUCAUGCAGUAUAAGACUUGUAACACAAGUCUUUCUAAAACUUACCAGCAGAGCUACAGGCUACCAAGUUUACUGUAAUUCCAGUCUAUUGUGUUCCAGACCAGAGGAGGGAGCUCAAGUACCAGAGCAUGUAGAAAUGAUCUGUUUUAGGGGUUAUCUCAUAAAGAGACCAACCUCAGGUUAUCCUUCUCCUGUUUUCCCUCAGCCUUGUAACUUUUCUCUAAAAAAUCUUUUUUCUAUUUCUCUGUUUCUGCUGCAUCUCUUCUGUAUUUUUCUUUUUAUUCUUGUAUCUCUCAGCCUCCUUUGGACUGAAUCCUUUUGGGAUCCUCCCUUGUGGGGAGCCCUGCUUAUCUCAGUUCUUAUUAUUCGAAGAAAACUCCUGAGCUCGUUAGAAUCUUGUUUCUUGGGUUUAUUAAAAGGUUGUCACAAAAUUUCACAGGUCUCUCCAGCCUGGCUACACAAGGUUAUAUCUUUGUAAUCAGGUACAUUUCUUUCUUCUGAUGGUACAAACAAGGCCUUGUGGCACACUUUGUGUCUGAUGCACAAAAUGGCCCCGAAAUACACAAUUCUUUUAUCUUUAUACCUAUUUUUACCCAAUUAACAAUAGACACGUAUAUUAUUUUUCUUAAUGACCCAAUGACCCAUCACCUCUGUGAUGCACUGCGACAUUCUCUAUCCAAUCACUUACUACUACCCAAAAACCUCUAGGAGAAGAACAUGAAGAAGAAAGAAGAAGGGACAAGGGACAAGACCCUAAAUCCUCCAUCUUGUCUCCUGUUCUCUAAACUAACUUUUUCACCCAGUGAUUUAAAAAAACUUUCUAAUCUACACACACUUUUAUCUUUUUCCAUCUAACUUUAACAUUUAUUUCCAUGUAUCACCAUGAAAACAUGCUCAUGAUUUUCAUAUUAUAUGAAAUUCAGUGUUUUUCUGGAUCUUAUAAUUAAGUAUCAGAAACAAGGGCACACACUCUGUAUUCCAGACUCCAACAAGCCUCAGGUUACCCAUCUCUUGUUUUGCAGGUUUGUGCUGUGAGACAAAUAUCAGAUUGCCUGCAUUGCAGGUACAUGGAGUGCUGGGACAUUUUUUGUGAGUAGGGCAGACAUAAGAUAGGGCUGAACAAGUGUUAUGCUCAGACUGUGGGAUCUGAAAAAAUCAGGGUGCAGUUUUGUACUAAGGGAUGCUCUGCAAACUGCUAUCUUUGUAUCAUGCUUCUUCCCAUGUUAGGCUCUGAUUGCUAAGUCCUCUGAUUGUCUACUUGUCACUCAGAGAAGGCAUUCAGGCUUUAGGUUGAAAUAUAGAUUGAGAAUCUUUAGAUGGACAUUUUGGCGUGGAAAUGCUGAAGUGGCUAUUCCAUCACUGUCAUAAGGCUCCGAUUUGGUUUCAGAUAUCCUUUUUGUCUCCCAUUGCUGGAAUUGUUGAAAUAAGCACCUGCUGCAGACAACAACCUAGCCCUCAACUUCACUUUCAUGUGCUACUCAAGGUUUUGCUGUAUGCUGAAGAAUCAUUUCUGUUGAGAAGCACUUCGGUGUCAUGAAGUCAAUAAAUAUACCUUUCACAUUGAACUUAACAAUUUCCAGCAAUGAAUGGUGAUAACGUACCAGGGUGAUGGGUUACAGCUUCAGAGAGACAUGUGCCAUUCUGCAGAAGUCAGUGAAGGUACAGGUUUAUAGAAAAUCAGAUCAUAGACUGCCGAAUAAGAGAUAAUUCCAGUAACUGAAAGAAUGGAAGGAUUUGAAAACUGUUAAUAUUUUCUAUUAGAGCAACUGGGAAAAAAUUUAACUCCUCCUUUGGGUCAAAAAUGUAAGCAUCAGGUAGACUUUUAGAGUACAAUCCCCAAAAGGUUUGUAAUGAUUUAAUGUAUGCUAAGUAAUUCACAAUAAUAAUAAGAGUGUGCAAAUUUUAGAUAAUUAUUGGCUCUGUUAUACCAAAUUAUUUGCAGUAUUUUUGGUUAAAAUAAAAGA